UCUUACUAUAAGAAAGAUAGAUGUUGUUUCACGAAGGGAUGUGAGCUAAAUAUAUAUGUUUAAUAGAAUAGUUACUACGUUGUAUAGUAGAGUGAAAUAUGUAUUUAGGGGUGACAGGCCUUUCAAACCUUCCGAUAGCUUGUUAUGUAUUAAAAAUAUUAAGUAUUGAGCCAAACUUAAAAAGUUAAGCUUUUAAGUUAAUAUAAGAUUUGUGGAACCUUUAUAACACAGUAUAAUAGCUAGUUAUAUUCUAAUAUUAAUAUUAAGUUUUAGUGACUAUAAGUUAUUAAUACAUUUUUGCUUCUUAUAAGUUAAUGGAGAAUGUAAGAAUUAGUAAUUGUAUUAAGUAUAACAAAGGAACUCGGCAAUGGAAAAUUGUUCAACUGUUUAUCAAAAACAUAGCUAUAUGAUAUAUUAUAUAGUUGUUUCUGNNCCAUGAUUAUUAAAUAGCCGCAGUACUUUGACUGUGCUAAGGUAGCAUAAUCAGUUGGCUCUUAAUUAGGGUCUAGGAUGAAAGAAAGCAUGGGCAAUAUCUGUCUUGUUAUAUUUAUACUAAGUUUGUCAGUAAGUGCAAAUACUUACAAUAAUAUAAAAGACGAGAAGACCCUAGAAACUUGAGAAAGACGUUUUGUUGGGGCGACAGAAUUACAUAAAACUAAUUUUAUUUACGUGAUGUAAUAAAGUAAGAAUAAGUUACUCUAGGGAUAACAGCAUAAUUUAAAUAGUUUGUGACCUCGAUGUUGGACUAGGUAUGGUACCCUUUAGAUAAGAGUACCAUCUGCUCUGUUCGAGCAACUAAUACCUACAU
rnacentral:rRNA from 1 species